CACCGCGGUUAUACGUGGGACCCAAGUUGAUAGAACCCGGCGUAAAGCGUGGUUAGGGGUAACACAAACAUUAAAGCCGAAUACCCUCAAAGCUGUUAUACGCAUAUGAGGGUGAGAAGCCCAAACACGAAAGUAGCUUUAAAAUACCCGAACCCACGAAAGCUAGGAGA
rnacentral:rRNA from 1 species